UCACUUCACAUUAAGCUGAAGCUGCCUAUAUAGGCGCUGCCGGCUUUGGCCGGAUAUGGCGAUAAAUUGUGAUGUGUAAUAGACGCAGCGGACCCGGGGGCAGUACCCGGCGGCUCCACCAUAAACCCCGGUAAAACGGGGCAGAUGACGGGGCCGAACUAGGAUCGACGUGUGUUCAAAGACAUUGUUUUUGCCCGGGUUGAGAAUCCCCGUAAAAAGCUCACAACACAUAAGUGCAAACGAUAACGAAGCACUCGCAAUCGCUGCGUAAUCUGACGGCCUCACGGCCUGAUCUUACAAAGCCUUAGCGCGGUUGGACCGACCGGGCAACAGAACGGAUACC
rnacentral:tmRNA from 1 species